GACGGAGGGGGCUAGCGUUGUUCGGAAUCACUGGGCGUAAAGGGCGCGUAGGCGGCCUUGCAAGUCAGGCGUGAAAUCCCGGGGCUUAACCUCGGAACUGCGCUUGAAACUGCAAGGCUUGAGCCUCGGAGAGGAUGGUGGAAUUCCUAGUGUAGAGGUGAAAUUCGUAGAUAUUAGGAGGAACACCGAUGGCGAAGGCAGCCAUCUGGACGAGUACUGACGCUGAGGCGCGAAAGCGUGGGGAGCAAACAGG
rnacentral:rRNA from 1 species